rnacentral:misc_RNA from 1 species
CGCACAGUGGAUCCUAGGCGUUUUUACUCACGCAAUAAUUUGUCCACACUAUUGUUGGGUGUGACCUGACAUA